rnacentral:lncRNA from 1 species
CCGUCCUCCCAAGCCCAAGGUCCCGCUCCCACCUGGAACCGUUGUCUCGCCUCCCAGGCCACGUGGCAGGCCCCCGAAGCCCAGAGACCCGUUCUCUCCGCAAGCGGAGCCCAAGAGCCCUUCUGGGACUGGAAGGCCACGUGGACGCCCUCCCAAGAAGGCCAAAACGGCAUCGGCUCCUCCUCAGGCUCCAGCUCCGGCUCCGGCUACUGGCGCGCCCAGAGGUAGAGGCAGGCCUCCUAAAGUGAAGCCCGCUGUGGCCCCGGUCGGCUGUUGAGUUUAGCUCAGCUCAGAUAGUGAG